rnacentral:rRNA from 1 species
UACGGAGGGGGCGAGCGUUAUUCGGAAUUAUUGGGCGUAAAGGGCGCGUAGGCGGCUGUACAAGUCAAAGGUGAAAUCCCUCGGCUCAACUGAGGAACUGCCUUUGAAACUGUACGGCUUGAGGCCGGGAGGGGGUAGCGGAAUUCCCAAUGUAGCGGUGAAAUGCGUAGAUAUCGUCUGGAACGCCGAAGGUGAAAACAGCUCGCUGGGGCUGCGCUGACGCUGAGACACGAAAGCCAGGGGAGCGAACGGG